rnacentral:rRNA from 1 species
UGGCGAGUGGCGAACGGGUGAGUAAUGCGUCGGAACGUACCGAGUAAUGGGGGAUAACGCAGCGAAAGCUGUGCUAAUACCGCAUACGCCCUGAGGGGGAAAGUGGGGGAUCGCAAGACCUCACGUUAUUCGAGCGGCCGACGUCUGAUUAGCUAGUUGGUGGGGUAAUGGCCUACCAAGGCGACGAUCAGUAGCGGGUCUGAGAGGAUGAUCCGCCACACUGGAACUGAGACACGGUCCAGACUCCUACGGGAGGCAGCAGUGGGGAAUUUUGGACAAUGGGGGCAACCCUGAUCCAGCCAUUCCGCGUGAGUGAAGAAGGCCUUCGGGUUGUAAAGCUCUUUCAGCUGGAACGAAACGGUACAGGCCAAUACCCUGUGCUAAUGACGGUACCGGCAGAAGAAGCACCGGCUAACUACGUGCCAGCAGCCGCGGUAAUACGUAGGGUGCGAGCGUUAAUCGGAAUUACUGGGCGUAAAGCGUGCGCAGGCGGAUUGUUAAGCAAGAUGUGAAAUCCCCGGGCUUAACCUGGGAAUGGCAUUUUGAACUGGCAGUCUAGAGUGCGUCAGAGGGGGGUGGAAUUCCACGUGUAGCAGUGAAAUGCGUAGAGAUGUGGAGGAACACCAAUGGCGAAGGCAGCCCCCUGGGAUGACACUGACGCUCAUGUACGAAAGCGUGGGUAGCAAACAGGAUUAGAUACCCUGGUAGUCG